CAUGCAAGUCGAACGAAGCAUUUGCGACAGAUUUUUUCGGAAUGAAGUUGCUUAUGACUGAGUGGCGGACGGGUGAGUAACGCGUGGGUAACCUGCCUUGUACUGGGGGAUAGCAGCUGGAAACGGCUGGUAAUACCGCAUAAGCGCACAAUGUUGCAUGACAUGGUGUGAAAAACUCCGGUGGUAUAAGAUGGACCCGCGUCUGAUUAGCUAGUUGGUGAGAUAACAGCCCACCAAGGCGACGAUCAGUAGCCGACCUGAGAGGGUGACCGGCCACAUUGGGACUGAGACACGGCCCAGACUCCUACGGGAGGCAGCAGUGGGGAAUAUUGCACAAUGGAGGAAACUCUGAUGCAGCGACGCCGCGUGAGUGAAGAAGUAAUUCGUUAUGUAAAGCUCUAUCAGCAGGGAAGAUAGUGACGGUACCUGACUAAGAAGCUCCGGCUAAAUACGUGCCAGCAGCCGCGGUAAUACGUAUGGAGCAAGCGUUAUCCGGAUUUACUGGGUGUAAAGGGAGUGUAGGUGGCCAUGCAAGUCAGAAGUGAAAAUCCGGGGCUCAACCCCGGAACUGCUUUUGAAACUGUAAGGCUAGAGUGCAGGAGGGGUGAGUGGAAUUCCUAGUGUAGCGGUGAAAUGCGUAGAUAUUAGGAGGGACACCAGUGGCGAAGGCGGCUCACUGGACUGUAACUGACACUGAGGCUCGAA
rnacentral:rRNA from 1 species